rnacentral:misc_RNA from 1 species
AAGUCGUAACAAGGUUUCCGUAGGUGAACCUGCGGAAGGAUCAUUAACACUAAAUCCACGUGUCCAAAUCACCUUUGGACAUAAACCCCCCUCUAGCGAACUAGCGUGGGUCUCUUACUAUGGGCUUCCGUUGAUGAUUCUCUCGCAAGAGAGAGUCGAAGCUUUAGAGACUUGCGAUUUUUUCUCUUUUUCUAUUCCUAUUAAUUUUUUUUAACCCAAUUGAAACUUCUAGACUGAAACUUGCAGCAAGAGGCGAAAGCACUUGCAGCGAAAAAACAAAACGCUUAAAACAACUCUUAGCAACGGAUAUCUUGGUUCUC